CAGCUCUCCGAGUUGUAGGGACGAUUAUUGGGCUUAAAGCGUCCGUAGCCGGCUUAGCAAGUCUCCUGUUAAAUUUAGCGACCCAAUCGUUGAGCCGCGGGGGAUACUGUUUGGCUAGGGGACGGGAGAGGUCGACGGUAUUUCCGGGGUAGGGGUGAAAUCCUAUAAUCCCGGGAGGACCACCAGUGGCGAAGGCUGUCGACUAGAACGCGCCCGACGGUGAGGGAUGAAAGCUGGGGGAGCGAUCCGGAUUAGAUACCCGAGUAGUCC
rnacentral:rRNA from 1 species